UAGAGUUUGAUCCUGGCUCAGAACGAACGCUGGCGGCGUGGAUAAGACAUGCAAGUCGAGCGCUGAUUACGGGGUAGCAAUAUCUCGUANUUGGAGCGGCGCAAGGGUGCGUAACACGUGGGUAAUCUGCCAUGAAGUUUGGAAUAACUUGCUGAAAGGCGAGCUAAUACCGGAUGUGAUUGUUGGGGGGCAUCUCCCGAUAUUCAAAGCUGGGGACCGUAAGGCCUGGCGCUUCAUGAUGAGCCCGCGGCCUAUCAGCUAGUUGGUGAGGUAACGGCUCACCAAGGCUAAGACGGGUAGCUGGUCUGAGAGGACGACCAGCCACACUGGAACUGAGACACGGUCCAGACACCUACGGGUGGCAGCAGUCGAGAAUUUUUCACAAUGGGGGCAACCCUGAUGGAGCGACGCCGCGUGGGGGAUGAAUGGCUUCGGCCCGUAAACCCCUGUCAUUCGGGAACAAUUGUUAUUAUUUAAAAGAUGAUGACUUGAUAUUACCGAAAGAGGAAGGGACGGGUAACUCUGUGCCAGCCGCCCCGGUAAUACAAAGGUCCCAGCGUUUUUCGGAUUCCUGGGGCGUAAAGGGUCCUAAUGGCCGGGAAACUCGGGUGUAAAUCUCGNAGCUAAACUCGAAACUGCUUCAGAAGUCGCGGGUUUGAGGACUGAGAAAAAAAUUGAAGUUUGGGGUGAGGCGGGAAAUCGUNCAAUUCGGNNGGGAAAACGGGNGANGAGNGGGCCUGCNCGAACGCCUUCCGCCGUAACCGAAAGGCCGGNGAAAAAGAGCGNNGUUUACCGCUGAGCCGNUCNCUAGGCGGGAGAUGGNGGGUGGNNAAGAGGAGUGACGUCCGCCCCCACCNCGGG
rnacentral:rRNA from 1 species